rnacentral:rRNA from 1 species
CAAGUCGAGCGGUAACAGGGGAAGCUUGCUUCUCGCUGACGAGCGGCGGACGGGUGAGUAAUGUAUGGGGAUCUGCCCGAUAGAGGGGGAUAACCACUGGAAACGGUGGCUAAUACCGCAUAAUCUCUUAGGAGCAAAGCAGGGGAACUUCGGUCCUUGCGCUAUCGGAUGAACCCAUAUGGGAUUAACUAGUAGGUGGGGUAAUGGCUCACCUAGGCGACGAUCCCUAGCUGGUCUGAGAGGAUGAUCAACCACACUGGGACUGAGACACGGCCCAGACUCCUACGGGAGGCAGCAGUGGGGAAUAUUGCACAAUGGGCGCAAGCCUGAUGCAUCCAUGCCGCGUGUAUGAAGAAGGCCUUAGGGUUGUAAAGUACUUUCAUUCGGGAGGAAGGCGUUGAUGCUAAUAUCAUCAACGAUUGACGUUACCGACAGAAGAAGCACCGGCUAACUCCGUGCCGC